UACGUAGGGUGCGAGCGUUGUCCGGAAUUAUUGGGCGUAAAGAGCUCGUAGGCGGCUUGUCGCGUCGACUGUGAAAUCCCGCGGCUCAACUGCGGGUCUGCAGUCGAUACGGGCAGGCUAGAGUUCGGUAGGGGAGACUGGAAUUCCAGGUGUAGCGGUGAAAUGCGUAGAUAUCUGGAGGAAUACCGGUGGCGAAGGCGGCAUCCUGGACCGACAUUGACGCGUGAGGAGCGAAAGCUAGGGGAGCAAACGGG
rnacentral:rRNA from 1 species